rnacentral:rRNA from 1 species
ACUCCUACGGGAGGCAGCAGUGGGGAAUAUUGCACAAUGGGCGCAAGCCUGAUGCAGCCAUGCCGCGUGUGUGAAGAAGGCCUUCGGGUUGUAAAGCACUUUCAGUCGUGAGGAAGGUAGUGUAGUUAAUAGCUGCAUUAUUUGACGUUAGCGACAGAAGAAGCACCGGCUAACUCCGUGCCAGCAGCCGCGGUAAGUACGGAGGGUGCGAGCGUUAAUCGGAAUUACUGGGCGUAAAGCGCAUGCAGGUGGUUUGUUAAGUCAGAUGUGAAAGCCCGGGGCUCAACCUCGGAAUAGCAUUUGAAACUGGCAGACUAGAGUACUGUAGAGGGGGUAGAAUUUCAGGUGUAGCGGUGAAAUGCGUAGAGAUCUGAAGGAAGUACCGGUGGCGAAGGCGGCCCCUGGACAGAUACUGACACUCAGAUGCGAAAGCGUGGGAGCAAACAGGAUUAGAUACCCCGUGGUAGACUGUCA